UACGGGGGGGGCAAGCGUUGUUCGGAAUUACUGGGCGUAAAGGGCUCGUAGGUGGUCAACUAAGUCAUACGUGAAAUCCCUCGGCUUAACCGGGGAACUGCGCCUGAUACUGGUUGACUUGAGUUUGGGAGAGGGAUGCGGAAUUCCAGGUGUAGCGGUGAAAUGCGUAGAUAUCUGGAGGAACACCGGUGGCGAAGGCGGCAUCCUGGACCGGCAUUGACGCUGAGGCGCGAAAGCCAGGGGAGCAAACGGG
rnacentral:rRNA from 1 species